GGUCCGCAACUGACCCUAUCAUUCAUAAAUUAGGCCAGCCAGUCCGGGGAGUGACAUCAAGGCGGCCGGAGAGGGUUCCUUUUACAAAAGCAACCCACUCC